rnacentral:tRNA from 4 species
GACGCUACGGACUUAAAUAAUUUGAGCGUUAGUAGAAAAACUUACAGUCCAAUUUUACAUGUUAAUCUUAGCAACAAUUUAAAUUGUAGUAGAAAGAAAAUCCGUUGGCUUUAUUGA